AGUUCGAUUAUGGCUCAGAUUGAACGCUGGCGGGAUGCUUGCAUAUGCAAAAGUCAACGGCAGCACGGACUUCUGCCUGGUGGCGAGUGGCGAACGGGUGAGUAAUGUAUCGAACGUGCCUAGUAGCGGGGGAUAAUCACAGCGUAGCCACACCGCGCAUACGCCUCUUCGGGGGAAAGCGGGGACCUUCGGGCCUCGCACUAUUAGGAGCGGCUGAUAUCGUGAUUAAGAAGGUGGGUGUAACGCUACCACCAAGGCGAUGAUCCAGAAGCCGGGUUUUGAGGACGACCAGCCACACUGGGAUCAUAUACGUCCAUCUACACGGGAGGCAGCAGGAAUUUUGGAUAAUGGGGGAAACCCUGAUCCAGCCAUCCCGCGUGUGCGAUGAAGGCUCUCACAAAAGCACUUUGGUGAAAGAAACGGCACGGGACGGCACUGCGUAAUCCGACGGUACCUGCAGAAUACACCGGCUAACCACGUACAGCAGCCGCGGUAAUACGAGGGUGCAAGCGUUAAUCGGAAUUACUGGCGCAGCGUGUGCGCAGGCAGGUUCGGAAAGAAAGAUGCAGUCCAGAGCUUAACUUUGGAACUGCAUUUUUAACUACCGAGCUAGAGUGUAGUCAGAGGGAGGGAAUUCAGCGUGGUAAGGUGAAAAAUGCGUAGAUAUGCGGAGGAACACCGAUGGCGAAGGCAGCCUCUGGGAUAACACUGACGCUCAGCACGAAAGCGUGGGGAAGCAAACAGGAUUAGAUACCUCUGGUAGUCCACGUCUUAAACGAUGUCAAUUCAGCUGUUGAAGCCUUCGGGCCCGGUAGCGGCAGCUAACGCGUGAAGACCGCCUUGGGGAGUACGGGUCAAAGAUUAAAAAACUCAAAGGAAUUGACGGGGACCCGCACAAGCGGUGGAUGAUGUGGAUUAAUCGAUAACGCGAAAACCUUACCUGCCCUUGACAUGUUCCGAAUCCCGAAGAGAUUUGGGAGUGCUCGCAAGAGAACCAACACAGGUGCCGCAUGGCUGUCGUCAGCUCGUGUCGUGAGAUGUUAAGUCCCGCAACGAGCGCAACCCUUGUCAUUAGUUGCUACGAAAGGGCACUCUACGAGACCGCCGGUGACAAACCGGGAGGAAGGUGGGAUGACGUCAAGUCCUCAUGGCCCUUAUGGGUAGGGAAGCCACACGUCAUACAAUGGUCGGGACAGAGGGUCGCCAACCCCGCGAGGGGGAGCCAAUCCCAGAAACCCGAUCGUAGUCCGGAUCGGCAGUCUGCAACUCGACUGCGUGAAGUCGGAAUCGCUGGGGGCAAUCGCGGAUCAGCAUGUCGCGGUGAAUACGUUCCCGGGUCUUGUACACACCGCCCGUCACACCGCGGAGUGGGUUUUACCAGAAGUAGUUAGCUCCAAUCCGUAAGGAGGGCGAUUACCACGGUAGGAUUCAUGACUGGGGUGAAGCCGUAUCAGCGUAA
rnacentral:rRNA from 1 species